rnacentral:rRNA from 1 species
CCUACGGGGGGCUGCAGUGGGGAAUAUUGGACAAUGGGCGAAAGCCUGAUCCAGCCAUGCCGCGUGUGUGAAGAAGGCCUUCGGGUUGUAAAGCACUUUCAGUGGGGAAGAAAGCCUUGGGGCUAAUACCCUCGAGGAAGGACAUCACCCACAGAAGAAGCACCGGCUAACUCCGUGCCAGCAGCCGCGGUAAUACGGAGGGUGCGAGCGUUAAUCGGAUUUACUGGGCGUAAAGCGCGCGUAGGCGGUCUGAUAAGCCGGUUGUGAAAGCCCCGGGCUCAACCUGGGAACGGCAUCCGGAACUGUCAGGCUAGAGUGCAGGAGAGGAAGGUAGAAUUCCCGGUGUAGCGGUGAAAUGCGUAGAGAUCGGGAGGAAUACCAGUGGCGAAGGCGGCCUUCUGGACUGACACUGACGCUGAGGUGCGAAAGCGUGGGUAGCAAACAGGAUUAGAUACCCGUGUAGUC